AUUUACCACGCAAAUAAUUGAAAUUGUUAUUUAACCACAAGUGCUAAAGGAAAUAUAGGAUACCUAUCAAUCAAAGUAUACAAGCAAUGGGAUCAACAAGGUCACCAAAAAUUAUGUAACUGCCACAAGACAAACAAAUAACUUAUAAUUGCAUUUUGUGCUUUACAACCUUAUUAAAAUCAUAGGCAUAUCAAAGUUUACUAAUAGAAAAUGAUCGGAAACAAAAUGUGUGGUCAUGACUCAACAGUAGAACUGAUAUUAUUGACUGCACAAACGCAUAAGGUUGCAACCACAUUCUGCAGAAACAUGCUCAAGCAUAAGACUGUGCCAGGCAUUCAUCAACCAUAUCCACUAGGUUCGGGUUUUCCAAGGCUGCUGCUACUCGCUCUUUAUCAUUUAGUUGUUUAUUAACUGCAAAAUGAAAAUAAUAAAUAAGAACAACAUUCUGUAAUCUGCAAUUAUGCAAAAACUCUAUCGAGAGAGCUAGCUACUCGACAGGUAAAAGAGAAAAAUUGAUAUUGUUCACCAUUCCUGAAAUUGCCUUCUUAAGACUUGAACCGCUAAUGAUUCAGGUCUGUAUGCCAUAAUGAAGUCAAAAGAAAUGAAGAAAGAAUUAUAAGCGAUUUUUGCAGGCAAUCAAUUCUCAAUCCAAAUAUAAUAACAUGAGCUUCAAAGUCACAUAAGCUAACCCACCUCAAGAUCACAGGAACUAAAGAAACAAUGGUUUAAAAUCAAGCCUGAGGUAUGAAGGGUCAUCCACCCAAAUAAUUAGGACCAAACCAAUCAAACCACUCAAUCAUAGUUGUCAAAGUAGGGCCUCAACUCCAGGAUCCCCUAAGCCUGGGGUCAUGAUCUGACCACAGUGGCUUAACGGAUUUCUUUCAUAAAAAUCUUUUAUUAUUUUAUUUGCUGUUUUUACUUCAUGGCAUACUCAUAUUCGUUUUAUAACCAUUUAAAUGAUAGUACAAUAUUAACAAAAUAAGUACAAUUGCAAAAAAAUCAACUUUCACAAUGUCCAUAUCAUAACAUGAUUAGUAUUCCAGCCCCCCGUUGAAGUUAGCUUUCCCUUCUAGCAAACUUGAUGUAGUAAUGGCAAAUACAAGUGCCUUUGCACCCUGCAACGAGGCCCUAGAUACCAUGUGUGCCUUAACACACUUAGCACCUUUGAGGGAAAGGGUGGGGAAAAAAAAAGGAUUAACCCUUUAGGUCAAUUUGUUUCUUACCAAUUUUAGUGACUUUGGUUUGUAAUAUAAAUUUGGUCCUUAAUGUUUCAAAAUUAGCAAUUUUAAUACUUUACUUUGUUAUAUUAUAAGCUAAUAGAAUGAUGGGUUAAUUCAAAAAAAUGUCUAAUAGUUCAGUUAAUCAGAACAUGCACUUGUUACACACUGAAAAGAAAGCAAUUACCUGCAGCUUCAGUUGCAUGGCUUCCAGGAGCCACUCUUAUAUCCACCUAAGCAAAAUGAGAAUGAUAAUUAUGAAAGAGAGAGAGAGAGAGAG
rnacentral:misc_RNA from 1 species